rnacentral:tRNA from 1 species
GGAGAGGUACCGAAGCGGUCAUAACGGGGACGACUCGAAAUCGUCUUGGCUCUUUAUGAGCCACGUGGGUUCGAAUCCCACCCUCUCCG